rnacentral:rRNA from 1 species
AUACGUAGGGAGCAAGCGUUGUCCGGAAUCAUUGGGCGUAAAGCGCGCGUAGGCGGCCCUGUAAGUCCGCUGUGAAAGUCAAAGGCUCAACCUUUGAAAGCCGGUGGAUACUGUGGGGCUAGAGUACGGAAGAGGCGAGUGGAAUUCCUGGUGUAGCGGUGGAAUGCGCAGAUAUCAGGAGGAACACCAAUAGCGAAGGCAGCUCGCUGGGACGUCACUGACGCUGAGGCGCGAAAGCGUGGGGAGCGAACAGGAUUAGAUACCCUGGUAGUCCACGCCGUAAACGAUGGGCACUAGGUGUGGGAGGUGUCGACUCCUCCCGUGCCGUCGCUAACGCACUAAGUGCCCCGCCUGGGGAGUACGGCCGCAAGGCUAAA